GACGAACGCUGGCGGCGUGCUUAACACAUGCAAGUCGAACGGAAAGGCCCUGCUUUUGUGGGGUGCUCGAGUGGCGAACGGGUGAGUAACACGUGAGUAACCUGCCCUUGACUUUGGGAUAACUUCAGGAAACUGGGGCUAAUACCGGAUAGGAGCUCCUGCUGCAUGGUGGGGGUUGGAAAGUUUCGGCGGUUGGGGAUGGACUCGCGGCUUAUCAGCUUGUUGGUGGGGUAGUGGCUUACCAAGGCUUUGACGGGUAGCCGGCCUGAGAGGGGGACCGGCCACCUGGGGACUGAGAGACGGCCCAGACUCCUACGGGAGGCAGCAGGGGGGAAUAUUGCACAAUGGGCGGAAGCCUGAUGCAGCAACGCCGCGUGCGGGAUGACGGCCUUCGGGUUGUAAACCGCUUUCGCCUGUGACGAAGCGGGAGUGACGGUAAUGGGUAAAGAAGCACCGGCUAACUACGUG
rnacentral:rRNA from 1 species